UUUGUACUCCCUCCGUCCCAAAAUUCUUGUCUUAAAUUUGUCUAAAUACGGACGUAACUAGUUACAUUUUAGUGUUAGAUACAUCCGUAUCUAAACAAAUGUAAGACAAGAAUUUUGGGACGGAGGGAAUACUAC
rfam:Triticum aestivum genome assembly, contig: Triticum_aestivum_CS42_TGACv1_scaffold_412649_5BL